CGUGGCUAGACAAAGAGACAGACUACAGUUGAUAACAACCAGGAUCUUUAUUGAGAAGAGUUAAUUAAUACACGUCGGAGGUACACUUUCUCCGAUAUUGAUAAAUACCUUGACCGUAGUGAUAAUAAUUCGAUCUAAACAACAAACAAAAACCUUCUUCCUUUCACAGUGCAAACACAGUCUCUAGUCCAAUUAAAUUUGGCGGCACAGUCUUUGGUCACUUAAUGGACGAUAGAUGAAAAUAACAUUAUCUUUCUCUUUCGGGGCUUUCCCUUGGCUUAUCUUGUACUUCUCUCCUCUCAAAGCGUCGACGACCUAUUCACAAGUGCACUUCUCGACAGGCUUGGGCUUAGUUGGGCUUCAACGUUUCUUUCAACUCGUGAGCAACUGUCACCUUCGGCGACUUGUGUCCGACUGCCCCGAACUAGGGACACAUCCAAGUAUCUAACCUUUCUCUAUCGUGGGGUUUUCUCCCCACCCGCAUUCCAAGAUUCCCUGUGGUUCCACUUUCCCACCACCUGCACGCCACCUGCACGACAUCCGACUCCUUUAGUGUCAUCGUAACU
rnacentral:lncRNA from 1 species